rnacentral:rRNA from 1 species
UACGAAGGGGGCUAGCGUUGUUCGGAAUGACUGGGCGUAAAGGGCGCGUAGGCGGCGAUGUAAGUCAGGCGUGAAAGCCCCGGGCUCAACCUGGGAACGGCGCUUGAUACUGCGUUGCUUGAGGACGGGUAGAGGAUGGUGGAAUUCCCAGUGUAGAGGUGAAAUUCGUAGAUAUUGGGAAGAACACCGGUGGCGAAGGCGGCCAUCUGGACCGUUUCUGACGCUGAGGCGCGAAAGCGUGGGGAGCAACGG